rfam:Salmo salar isolate Sally breed double haploid chromosome ssa03, whole genome shotgun sequence.
UGGCUCAGUUGGUAGAGCAUGGUGUUUGCAACGCCAGGGUUGUGGGUUCGUAUUCCCAC